GUGCUUUGGAACAUCGCUGAACCUAUGUUCGACGAGUACGACUGGAGUCGUGACGGCUCUGACGAGGCUGCUAACGUGCCUGAUCACCCCCUUGACUACGACAAGCAUCUCAGGUGUCCUCACUGCAAUUGCCGACAUCGUUACCCUUGUCUUGAGAACUAUCG